rfam:Lactobacillus composti DSM 18527 = JCM 14202 strain DSM 18527 NODE_209, whole genome shotgun sequence.
UUUUCAUAGGCUUUUCUCAGAAGAUAUUUUGAUAAAAGGUUAUGAUCAAAGGUCUUACUAACGUAACGUUUUGCUGUGAUUGCCACCGAAACGAUGCGUUUUUUU